GCUGGAGACCCGGAUGGGGAAAGAGUCUGGCGGUGUCAUGGCCAGAUCACACGCGUCAGAUCCAUGUGCAUCAAAUACCUUCCAGAUUCGUUUAAUCAAUUCCGAAGAAACGCAUUGUGUUAAUCAUAUUCUGUUGGGCGUUGCAGACACACCUAAACAAAGGACGGCUUGCAUACAGUCUUCACAUCCUUCUGACUGGGAUGGAAAUGGCCCGGGAGAAAGUAGUCCCUGGACAUCUGUCACGGAGCCUGCUGAGUGACACAGGCCUGCCGCACGUCUCAGCACUGUCUGAUGACGUCGGCUUCCCCCACGAUUCCCCACUGCAGUGCAGCAUCACAG